GCAGAUGUGGCGGAAUGGCAGACGCGCUAGCUUCAGGUGCUAGUGCUCGCAAGGGCGUGUGGGUUCAAGUCCCACCAUCUGCA
rfam:Butyricicoccus pullicaecorum 1.2 genomic scaffold acBRa-supercont1.1, whole genome shotgun sequence.